rfam:Habropoda laboriosa contig19181, whole genome shotgun sequence.
AGUAUUAUGUCUGAAAAAGAAAUAAAUUGUAAAUUUAUUAAUGAAGAUAAAACUCUUCUAUUACUA